UGAGGAAUAUUGGUCAAUGGGAGGAAUCCUGAACCAGCCAUGCCGCGUGCAGGACGACGGCUCUACGAGUUGUAAACUGCUUUUGUACCGGGGUAAAAUGCCUUACGAGUAGGGUUUUGAAAGUACGGUACGAAUAAGGAUCGGCUAACUCCGUGCCAGCAGCCGCGGUAAUACGGAGGAUCCGAGCGUUAUCCGGAUUCAUUGGGUUUAAAGGGUGCGUAGGUUGUUUUAUAAGUUAGCGGUGAAAUACCGAUGCUCAACAUCGGGGCUGCCGCUAAUACUGUAGGACUAGAGAUCGGAUGCAGCAGGCGGAAUGUGUAGUGUAGCGGUGAAAUGCAUAGAUAUUACACAGAACACCGAUUGCGAAGGCAGCUUGCUAGGCCGGAUCUGACACUGAUGCACGAAAGCGUGGGGAGCAAACAGG
rnacentral:rRNA from 1 species